rnacentral:rRNA from 1 species
UGCGUAGGCGGGUCUUUAAGUCAGGGGUGAAAUCCUGGAGCUCAACUCCAGAACUGCCUUUGAUACUGAAGAUCUUGAGUUCGGGAGAGGUGAGUGGAACUGCGAGUGUAGAGGUGAAAUUCGUAGAUAUUCGCAAGAACACCAGUGGCGAAGGCGGCUCACUGGCCCGAUACUGACGCUGAGGCACGAAAGCGUGGGAGCAAACAGGAUUAGAUACCCUGGUAGUCCACGCCGUAAACGAUGAAUGCCAGCCGUUAGUGGGUUUACUCACUAGUGGCGCAGCUAACGCUUUAAGCAUUCCGCCUGGGGAGUACGGUCGCAAGAUUAAA